ensembl:misc_RNA Metazoa_SRP Metazoan signal recognition particle RNA
GCCAGGUGUGAGGGCUCGCACCUGUAAUCCCAGCAACUCAGGAGGCUGAGGCAGGAGGAUUGCUUGAGCCUAGGAGUUUGAGGCUGCAGGGAGCUAUGUUCAUGCUACUACACUCCAGCCUGGGCAACAGAGCAAGAUCCUGUCUCGA